ACCCCAGACUAAACUAAAACACACACACAACAUUCAGUGCCCUCUUCUCCUUCAUCUCCUCUUGUGAGAAAACCCUAACCCACCUACAAAAACUACAGCCGCACCCCCUUAUAACUCCCUCUUUCUCGGCAGAAGAUCGACGGCUGAAGCCGUGGUACAUCGGCGACGUCAGGCGGCGGCUCCGCCACCCACGGUGGCGGCAAUGGAGGAGUUUGGCGGCGGUUUAGCGGCAGAGAUGGUGAUUCGAGAUGUCGACAGCCGGAUUCGAGUGAACAACGUUUGGGGGAGUCGCUAAGGCGGUGACCGACGUGGGUGGAGAUGAUGGUGAGGAUCGGAGGAGGAUGAUGAUGAUGCUGAAGACGGUGGUGGCGGUGCGACACCACUGCCGGCAAUUUUCGACUGGUGUCGAAGGUGGAGGUGGUUAUUUUUGGGUCAGCGCGGUCUCGGGUUUAUUCGGUUCGGUCAAGUUCGGGUAUCACGACACGGUUCAACUCGGUUUGGUUAUGGUUCAAGUUUGGGUUUUGGUUCACACAGUUCCUGUAUGGUUCGGGUCAGAUUUACACUCCGUGUCAACUCGGUCAAACCGAGUCGACUCGGUCAAACCGGUCAAUGCGGGUCAACUCAGUACGAGUUUGGGUUACCUAGGUCAAACCGAGUUAACUCGGGUCAACAAUGCGGACCGGUUCAGUUUCAGUCAAAUAUUAGUUUAUUUCGGGUCGGCUCAGUGGAGAGUUUUGGCAUAUUUUGAUUAAAUAUAUUGUUUGCGACAUUGUUGAAUUUUGAUAAAAUGACGACAACUUGAGUUGUCGGGGUUAUUCCAAAAACAGAGGAAGCUCUGUCCGUUUUUUGUUAAAAACCCGAUACACGACACGUAUUUAUGAUCUAGAAAUGACACUUAUCGGAUUUCGAAUA